rnacentral:miRNA from 1 species
GCUUUAACAUGGGGUUACCUGC